AGGAGUAAAACUGAGUGCAACAUGUUUAGAGACUCAGCAGACGUCAAUUCGAAGAAGAGAGGGAACCUUAUGGAUGAAUCCAGCUCUAGAGAGGGACUUUGAUGACAUCCUAGGAACCGUUGCAGAUAAAGUUGCCUCACGUAAAGAGAUAGAUGAUCUGGGAAUGGCCCUUGGCUUCGGACCAGAGGAUAUUGGCCGUUACGUUGAGGAGAACAAGAGAGAGACAGGAGUGUCGUACAUGGGAACUCUUUCAAUGCUCCGUAGGUGGAGAAAUAAUCAAACAGAGAAUACAGAGCUAGAAGCUUUGCAGACUGCUCUAGAAAAGGCUGAUCAAAUCCAUCUCGCUGCUGAACUAUUUGGUGAAUGAUUUAAUGGAUUUUUGUGAACUAUGAACUAUGUUUUUCAAUGGAGGAUUAGAUAGAGGCAGUCAGUUGGCAGGUCCUCAAAAAGAGUAGCUAAUUUUAUCCGAGUGAUAUUCACGAUCGGAGGGUGUUUGCACUAUUUUCAUGCAACCAAAAUUGUUGUUAUGUACUCAAUUUCUGUGCGAGCCUAGAUGAUCUUAGAAUUAUGAUAAAGCUGAAGAUCUAAGCUUUAAUAUGAUAUAGGUUUUAUAAGAAGAUGUGUUUAGAUGGGUCAGCAGUCAGCUUUUCAUAGGCCAAGUUCAUUUAGCAGCUUAUAAAGAAAGAAUACUUCACUCUGAUUGGUCAAAGAGACCACACACCCACGCAAAUUCCGACGUUUCCACACUGGGCAUCUGCAAGGUCACACUCGCAAUGUGGUUACCUCUUCGAAUUACCCGCGUCUGUUGUUUUGAAAACAUUAUUCACCCAAUCAGAACUCUGGAUUUUAUGCUACUCUUGAUGGAAAAAGAUGGGUGCUGACCCAUCUAAAAGGUGCAACAUACAGAGGAAGAAAAUUUAAUUUGAGGCAUCUAUUCGGACCUGAAAAUCACUUAUCAAAUGAUUUUAUAAAAAAGAAACGACCAAUAUAAAGGAGUAACAUUUACCCUUUCCUAUGGUACAAGAAUAAUCAAUUUUAUUUGAGUAAAAAGUGGUUAAAUUCUUAGAUAGAAAGUCUUACAAUUCACGAGAUUGUGCAGGAAUAUCUCGCUCAUUUGCUUACUAGCAUAGGGAAAGAAACAGAUAGAAUGAGAGAAAGAUAAACACGAGGAUGAGUUUAAUAUGACGUUUGUAGUUGAGAAGGAGUGUGCGAACAUGCACGGAUGAGGAUGUGUCUGUGUGUGUAAGAUCAAAUGUUAUUGAUUCGUUGUGUUUAUGGGAGUAGGGGUGUGUGAGGGUGUGUGUGUGUGUGUGUAAGGGCGUGCAUAUUUUAAUUGACGCAGCUGAUUGCAAGGUUUUUAUUUGCAUUUUAUGUAUUGUCUCAUAGGGUCAAUGCAGUUCAUUGAAAUAAUCUGAUCUGAAGUUUAUUAACAUGUAUUUGAUUAUGUUAACGAAAUUCUUGGAAACUCAUUAAUUCAUGAUUUAUGUAUUGUAUUUGAAUUGAUGAAAUGAAGAGUGUAGUUACAAAAGGGGUUAGGUCCACUUUUUACCAUUCCGAGAAAAACCAUGUUUUUUAUUCUGACGUACUGCAAUAUUCCCAUGAGAAACUAAAUUGUCAUGAGGUACUACCCUAUCAUGUGAACAUAAAAUUGGGUAUAAAAGAAAUCUACCUGUCUUCAAUUUUUCUUUAUAUAUUCUUUUAAACAUUAUCAUUGUGGACCUAACCCCUUUUGCAAGUAAACUGAAAUGAAUCCAAUCUAUUCUGAUUAAAAAAGUGAUUAUUCUUUGUCACUUCUAUUCAGGUUUUCACAUGAAUUUCAAAUUUUCCUUGUUUUCAUCAGAACGACUAAAAAUUUAGAGGUGUUGAGACAGAAAACAAUAAAAAUUUAUGAAAAAUGGACCUAACCCCUUUUGACAACUAAGCUCUUCAAAAUAGUUUGUUUGCAAAAGGGGUUAGGUCCACUCCAACAAAAUGAUUUUUUUAUUCUCCCAUAUUGCAAUAUUCUUAUGCGAAACUAAAUUUUCAUGAUACCCUACCAUGAGAACAUAAAAUUGGGUAUAA